rnacentral:RNase_P_RNA from 1 species
GGAGUCGGCCAGACGAUCGCGGUCGCCGCAAGGCGAUGGAGGAAAGUCCGGGCUCCGCAGGGCAAGAGGCCAGGUAACGCCUGGGCGGCGCGAGCCGACGGAAAGUGCAACAGAAAGUAAACCGCCGAUGGCAUCAGGUUCGCCCUGACGCCAGGUAAGGGUGAAAUGGUGCGGUAAGAGCGCACCGCGUCUGCGGUAACGUGGAUGGCACGGCAAACCCCCUCUGGAGCAAGACCAAAUAGGGAGGCACGCCUUCGGGCAGCCUGCGGCCCGCAGGUGUCUCCGGGUAGGUCGCACGAGGCGCCCGGUGACGGGCGUCCCAGAUGAAUGAUCGUCCUCGACAGAACCCGGCUUAUCGGCCGACUCCAUUU